rnacentral:rRNA from 1 species
AUUGAACGCUGGCGGCAGGCCUAACACAUGCAAGUCGAGCGGAUGAAGGGAGCUUGCUCCUGGAUUCAGCGGCGGACGGGUGAGUAAUGCCUAGGAAUCUGCCUGGUAGUGGGGGAUAACGUCCGGAAACGGGCGCUAAUACCGCAUACGUCCUGAGGGAGAAAGUGGGGGAUCUUCGGACCUCGCGCUAUCAGAUGAGCCUAGGUCGGAUUAGCUAGUUGGCGGGGUAAAGGCCUACCAAGGCGACGAUCCGUAACUGGUCUGAGAGGAUGAUCAGUCACACUGGAACUGAGACACGGUCCAGACUCCUACGGGAGGCAGCAGUGGGGAAUAUUGGACAAUGGGCGAAAGCCUGAUCCAGCCAUGCCGCGUGUGUGAAGAAGGUCUUCGGAUUGUAAAGCACUUUAAGUUGGGAGGAAGGGCAGUAAGUUAAUACCUUGCUGUUUUGACGUUACCAACAGAAUAAGCACCGGCUAACUUCGUG